AAAGCAUUCUCUGGUGUUGAAGGCCCUGCAAAGCAGCAUCGCGGUGGCGGAGCGUCGUUUGCGACGCCCAACACACAAAACAAGCGGUGAGUGCUUUGGGGUGGGGUGACUGCGUACCUUUUGUAUAAUGGGUCAGCGACUUAUAUUCUGUAGCAAGGUUAACCGAAUAGGGGAGCCGCAGGGAAACCGAGUCUUAAUUGGGCGUUAAGUUGCAGGGUAUAGACCCGAAACCCGGUGAUCUAGCCAUGGGCAGGUUGAAGGUUGGGUAACACUAACUGGAGGACCGAACCGACUAAUGUUGAAAAAUUAGCGGAUGACCUGUGGCUGGGGGUGAAAGGCCAAUCAAACCGGGAGAUAGCUGGUUCUCCCCGAAAGCUAUUUAGGUAGCGCCUCGUGAAUUCAUCUCCGGGGGUAGAGCACUGUUUCGGCUAGGGGGCCAUCCCGGCUUACCAACCCGAUGCAAACUGCGAAUACCGGAGAAUGUUAUCACGGGAGACACACGGCGGGUGCUAACGUCCGUCGUGAAGAGGGAAACAACCCAGACCGCCAGCUAAGGUCCCAAAGUCAUGGUUAAGUGGGAAACGAUGUGGGAAGGCCCAGACAGCCAGGAUGUUGGCUUAGAAGCAGCCAUCAUUUAAAGAAAGCGUAAUAGCUCACUGGUCGAGUCGGCCUGCGCGGAAGAUGUAACGGGGCUAAACCAUGCACCGAAGCUGCGGCAGCGAACGUAUCACUUAAAGCGAUUCAGCGGGUUACGAUUGACGGAGCGAAGCGACGUCAAAGCGUAUACAAAGUCGAGUCGGUUUAAGGAUACGUUCGUUGGGUA
rnacentral:rRNA from 1 species